rnacentral:rRNA from 1 species
UACGGGAGGCAGCAGUGGGGAAUAUUGGACAAUGGGCGCAAGCCUGAUCCAGCCAUACCGCGUGUGUGAAGAAGGCCUUCGGGUUGUAAAGCACUUUAAGUAAGGAAGAAAAGUAUAUUGUUAAUACCAAUGUACCGUGACAUUACUUACAGAAUAAGGACCGGCUAAUUCCGUGCCAGCAGCCGCGGUAAUACGGAAGGUCCAAGCGUUAAUCGGAAUUACUGGGCGUAAAGCGCGCGUAGGUGGUUUAUUAAGUUGGGUGUGAAAGCCCCGGGCUCAACCUGGGAACUGCAUCCAAAACUGAUUCACUAGAGUACGAAAGAGGGAGGUAGAAUUCACAGUGUAGCGGUGGAAUGCGUAGAUAUUGUGAAGAAUACCAAUGGCGAAGGCAGCCUCCUGGUUCUGUACUGACACUGAGGUGCGAAAGCGUGGGUAGCGAACAGGAUUAGAUACCCUGGUAGUCCACGCCGUAAACGAUGACAACCAGCUGUUGGGAAGCAAUGCUUUUCAGUGGCGCAGCUAACGUCUUAAGUUGUCCGCCUGGGGAGUACGGCCGCAAGGUUAAAACUCAAAUGAAUUGACGG